rnacentral:rRNA from 1 species
AGAGUUUGAUCCUGGCUCAGGAUGAACGCUAGCGACAGGCCUAACACAUGCAAGUCGAGGGGCAACAUGGUAUCAGCUUGCUGAUACUGAUGGCGACCGGCGCACGGGUGAGUAACGCGUAUGUAAUCUACCUGUAACAGAGGGAUAACCCGGAGAAAUCCGGACUAAUACCUCAUAGCACAUAUUAUUCGCAUGAAUUUUAUGUUAAAGAGACUCGGUUACAGAUGAACAUGCGUUCCAUUAGCUAGUUGGCGGGGUUACGGCCCACCAAGGCAACGAUGGAUAGGGGUUCUGAGAGGAAGGUCCCCCACACUGGUACUGAGACACGGACCAGACUCCUACGGGAGGCAGCAGUGAGGAAUAUUGGUCAAUGGGCGGAAGCCUGAACCAGCCAAGUCGCGUGGAGGAAGACGGCCCUACGGGUUGUAAACUCCUUUUACCUGGGAAUAACGGGCGCUACGUGUAGCGCUGUGCAUGUACCGGGAGAAUAAGCAUCGGCUAAUUCCGUGCCAGCAGCCGCGGUAAUACGGAAGAUGCGAGCGUUAUCCGGAUUUAUUGGGUUUAAAGGGUGCGUAGGCGGAAGAAUAAGUCAGCGGUGAAAUGCUUCAGCUCAACUGGAGAAUUGCCGAUGAAACUGUUUUUCUAGAGUAUAAAAGAGGUAUGCGGAAUGCGUGGUGUAGCGGUGAAAUGCAUAGAUAUCACGCAGAACCCCGAUUGCGAAGGCAGCCUGCUAGGGUGAAACAGACGCUGAGGCACGAAAGCGUGGGUAUCGAACAGGAUUAGAUACCCUGGUAGUCCACGCAGUAAACGAUGAAUACUAACUGUUUGCGAUACAAUGUAAGCGGUACAGCGAAAGCGUUAAGUAUUCCACCUGGGGAGUACGCCGGCAACGGUGAAACUCAA